AUGGAUACGGCGCGGGACGGCGAAGCUAAUGGACGAUGCGGGGCAGCCGGGGGUACCAAGAACCGGCGGGGAGAUGCGGCGGUGGCAGCGGCGGGGAGUGAGGCGGGAACGGAAGCUGGAGGAAAUGGCUUUCGCGCAAGGGAAGGGGAUCCGGCAAAAACAUGUGUGGAUCUCGUAGAUAUGACGGAAACGACUCGAGUAUGCAGAAUCCCACAUCAAAAAGUCAGGAUGGCCGAUUAUAAGGGGUCUAUUCGGGCCGGAAAAAUCGGCCAUGUCCUGUGA
rnacentral:rRNA from 1 species